AUUGAACGCUGGCGGAAUGCUUUACACAUGCAAGUCGAACGGCAGCACGGACUUCGGUCUGGUGGCGAGUGGCGAACGGGUGAGUAAUGUAUCGGAACGUGCCCAGUCGUGGGGGAUAACGUAGUGAAAAUUACGCUAAUACCGCAUACGAUCUAUGGAGGAAAGCGGGGGAUCGCAAGACCUCGCGCGAUUGGAGCGGCCGAUAUCAGAUUAGGGAGUUGGUGGGGUAAAGGCCCACCAAGCCAACGAUCUGUAGCUGGUCUGAGAGGACGACCAGCCACACUGGAACUGAGACACGGUCCAGACUCCUACGGGAGGCAGCAGUGGGGAAUUUUGGACAAUGGGCGAAAGCCUGAUCCAGCCAUUCCGCGUGCAGGAUGAAGGCCCUCGUGUUGUAAACUGCUUUUGUACAGAACGAAAAGGUUUCUACUAAUACUAGGAGCUCAUGACGGUACUGUAAGAAUAAGCACCGGCUAACUACGUGCCAGCAGCCGCGGUAA
rnacentral:rRNA from 1 species